GAUGAUCGGUUAAAAAUACUUAGACGUAAUAUUUAUUUAAGCAAGUUGCCUUGUGUUAACAAAGGGUGAAAUCGAUUUUUUAUUAUAUAAGAAAUUUUGUUUAAUUAUAAAAAAGUUGAGGUUGUUAAAGUAAUGGUAUGAACCAGGAUUAGAGACCCUGUUACACUUUACUUUAAGUUUGGGUACCCGGGUAGUAAUCAGCUAUAGUCUUGAAACUUAAAGGAUUUGGCGGUAGUUUAGUCUAGUUAGAGGAACCUGUCCUGUAAUCGAUAGUCCACGAAAAAUCUUACUUUGUCUUGAAUAUGUCAGCUUAUAUACCGUCAUUAUUAGACAACUUUAAAAAAUGUUGAAGUUGUUGUAAUAGUUUUUAAUUAAUAUAUUAGAUCAAGGUGUAGCUAAUGUCAAAGUAGAGAUGGGUUACAAUAAUACUAGUUUACUACGAAUCUAAAGCGGAAGGAGCUUUAGUGAAGGAGGAUUUAAAUGUAAAAAUACUUUAAUAUGGUAUUUUGAUUAUAGCUCUAGACUAUGUACACAUCGCCCGUCGCUCU
rnacentral:rRNA from 1 species